AACGCGCAUUGCGCCCUUUGGCUAUUCCGGAGGGCAUGCCUGUUCGAGCGUCAUUAUCACCCCUCAAGCUCGGCUUGUUGUUGAGCGACGGCGGUCGUCGAUCGAUCGCCCGCCCCAAAGAUAAUGACGGCGUCUGUGAGGACCCCAGUACACUGAGCUUCUUCGGAGCACGUAUUGGCAAGGACUCCAGGCCCGGUCUUGACUAUUUAUUCAAAAGUUGACCUCGGAUCAGGUAGGGAUACCCGCUGAACUUAA
rnacentral:misc_RNA from 1 species